rnacentral:rRNA from 1 species
AGAGUUUGAUCCUGGCUUAGGAUGAACGCUAGCUACAGGCUUAACACAUGCAAGUCGAGGGGCAUCAUGGAGUUGCUUGCAAACUCUGAUGGCGACCGGCGCACGGUGAGUAACGCGUAUCCAACCUCCCUAUAGUAGAGGAUAGCCCGGCGAAAGUCGGAUUAAUACUCUAUGUUUUCCGUUGCAGACAUCUAAGAUGGAACAAAGGCUUGCCGCUAUAGGAUGGGGAUGCGUCUGAUUAGGUAGUCGGCGGGGUAACGGCCCACCGAGCCAUCGAUCAGUAGGGGUUCUGAGAGGAAGGUCCCCCACAUUGGAACUGAGACACGGUCCAAACUCCUACGGGAGGCAGCAGUGAGGAAUAUUGGUCAAUGGGCGAGAGCCUGAACCAGCCAAGUAGCCGUGCAGGACGACGGCCCUAUGGGUUGUAAACUGCUUUUAUGCGGGGAUAAAGUUCACUACGUGUAGUGUUUUGUAGGUACCGCAUGAAUAAGGACCGGCUAAUUCCGUGCCAGCAGCCGC